AGCCUCGCGCGCUGGAAGCUUGAGGAGAGAGAGGGCGAAGGCGGGACGGAGGUGCCUGUCGUCUGCCGCGCGCCGCGCCUCGGAAGGCCGGGGCCUCGCCUCUGAGGGGAGAGGACGGGCCGAAGCGCGGGGCUUUCGGGGGCGGCUAUGAGGGUAGGGGGUGGGACGCCUAGUCGGCGUCGCGGCUUCGAGGCCUGCUUCCCCUCAACCGGGAGAAGGGACGCGAGCCGCCGAGCUCAAGCUUCCAGACUCGGAUAAGAUCCUCCCCGCGUGUCGGUCGCGGUUCCUACACGUGAAGCCUUAGCGUGACUUUUUCUGCAUGUGGGAAACGUGCUGCACGCGUGCUCAGAGGGCUUCGUGCAGCAAGGAACCGCUUUCCAAUAUACAGGAGUCGUGCGGCCUGUGGGACCGCCCUUGGGCAUCCGUCAGUCAUCGCGGGACGGCUUGUACGUGUGAAAUGGGACACUGCAGAACAAACUCCGGAAAGGGGAGUUUUCACGUCGCUUGACACGCCAGCAGCUCCACGUUUGGCUUUGCUUUAAGCAACCAGCAAAGGAUUGGUUGUUGAACCUUCUUCAGGGUCCCAAUAUAUGGCACUCUUUCAGGGUUUCAGGCUUCCCUCAAGCCAAGCGUGCGCCUCCCUAUGCAGGGAAAUUGGCCUAUAAUGCAUUCAAAGCAUACUGUUUUGAAUUUCUAGCUAAGGCAUUGGACUUUUUCAUAUACUGGCGUAGCAUAUUCUGUAUCAGGGAUUGGGAACGUUUCAAGUUGGAGGGCCGUAUUCCCUUUGGUGUGGGGUGAGAGGCAGAAGUGGGCAGAGCGAUUAAUGUAUUUCUGUGCACACUUUUGUAUACCUCUUCUCUAGCCAAGCAGGCAGAAGGUGUCAAAAUUCAAAGACACAUCUCAGGCAGGCGAAAACACUUAAGGAAGGUGCAAAACAGAGCUGGUGAGGUCUGUGUGGCCUGGGGGUGUCACAUAUGUCUCCCAAGACUGAGGUUUCCCGUUCCAGUUCUACAAGCCAUGAAAUAUCAGAGCCAUUCACCCAACCACCCCAUGUGUAUAAUUUGUUGUGUGAUUGAUGCAUAUUCAUGUAUUGCAUCUGUUGCCUUUACAACCCAUGUGAAUAUACUCUUACAUGUCAUUAGAAAGGGCUAAAUGUAGGUGAGACAUACAUAUAUAUCCCUGGCUCACUGCCAUACACCACUGCAUCUAAAUAUCACAGUGACUACAGGUUAGUGUGUCAGAUUAAGCCCGGGGAGACCCAGGUUCAAAUCCACAUUUAGCUUAUUGUGUGGCUUUGAGCAAGUCACUGUCUCAGACGAUAGCUGAGGAUAAAAUUGUUGGUGUGCAGGAAGAUAACUGCACACACCAUCUUGAGCUUGAAGGAAAUGCAGGAUAGUUGAAUGUCAAGUUAAUUUUCUUUCUGUCUCAUUUUCCCAUUCUUAGAUUCAGUUCUCCGGAUUUUCACAUCAGUUUGCAAUGUUUUCUUUCAUUCUUAAAAAAACAAGUUCUCAUGAAAAUUUAGCAGCAGUUUCGUGCAAGUUCUUUCUAAAACACAAAUCUUGACAUGCACUUUGACCUUAUACACAUAUAUGGCAAAACAAUUUCCCCAUAUGCAAUGUAUUUUUGCACGCUAUUUUCACUAAUGCAUACAUUUUUAUCCACACAUGGAAUUUGCACCUGUUACUUGACUGGAAAGCUAUUUUUGUACAGCUUACUGCAUUGCAAAAUUUAUUAAAAGAGCAAAUUUUGAAGGAUGCAUGUGAUUUGGCUCAUGUAUUGUUUUGGAAAGUGUGAAUUGUUUCACCUUUAAAUGCAAGCUAAAUCAAAUUUCUCCCACAUACCUAGAAGCACAUAAGCAGGGCCAGCCCACCCAUGAGGUGGGAUGAAGUAGCUGCCUCAGGCAGCAGAAGCCCUUGAGGUGGCGCCCUGCUCUGGCAACUUGUUUGGCUUAUUCCUCCCUGCCCACCACAGAAAUAUAAGGGGCUUCUGGAGCUUGCUUAUGUCCAGGAAAGGCAAAGGGUUGCAACUAAGAAGGUGGGUGGGACUGAGCACGUGACGCCAUGAGCCACAUGGCAAUACUUCUAUUAGGACCACCCAUUAGUUAAAUAAGGUGGGUGUGGGGAUGUAAGAAAAAACUGAAUAGUGUAGUUGCUUCCCAAGUCUGCAACUUCUCACAAUAUAGAAGAUGUUUUGCAGGUACAACUGAGUUAGACUAUCAAGGUGCAAGACGUAAGGUGCAUCCAAUGCUAUCGGGACAAAAAAAAACAAGUCAAUGCUUCCCCAUGUUUGAGAAUAUAAAAUUCAAAAGUUAUUGGAGUCUGUCCAAACACACGACUGUCAGAACACACAUGACUUGACCCUAGGGAGAUGGAG